GAUGAACGCUAGCUACAGGCUUAACACAUGCCAAGUCGCGGGGUCUGUUUCGGCAGACGACCGGCGCACGGGUGAGUAACGCGUAUCCAACCUGCCCCUCUCUUGGCAUAGCCUUUCGAAAGAGAGAUUAAUUCCGAAUAACGUAGUAACGUUGCCUGAUGAUACUACGAAAGCUCCGGCGGAGAGGGAUGGGGAUGCGUUCCAUUAGGUAGUAGGCGGGGUAACGGCCACCUAGCCAACGAUGGAUAGGGGGUUCUGAGAGGAAGGUCCCCCACAUUGGAACUGAGACACGGUCCAAACUCCUACGGGAGGCAGCAGUGGGGAAUAUUGGGCAAUGGGCGAAAGCCUGACCCAGCGACGCCGCGUGAAGGAAGAAGGUCUUCGGAUUGUAAACUUUUGUCAGCAGGGAAGAAGAAAGUGACAGUACCUGCAGAGGAAGCCACGGCUAACUACGUG
rnacentral:rRNA from 1 species